AUGGCGAAGAAGGCCGCAAAGCGAGCUGUUGGUGAAGCAAGGGGUCGGGCAUAUGAGGACCUCUACCAACGGUUAGGCACGAAGGAAGGUGAAAGGGACAUCUAUAAGAUGGCCAAGAUCCAAGAGAGGAAGACGAGGGAUAUUGGCCAAGUCAAAUGCAUCAAGGACGGAGCAGGCCAACUCUUGGUGAAGGACGAGGAGAUUAAGCAUAGAUGGAGGGAGUACUUCGACAAGCUGUUCAAUGGGGAGAAUGAGAGUUCUACCAUUGAACUGGACGACUCCUUUGAUGAGACCAACAUGCGUUUUGUGCGGCGAAUCCAGGAGUCUGAGGUCAAGGAGGCUUUAAAAAGGAUGAAAGGAGGCAAGGCGAUGGGCCCUGAUUGUAUCCCCAUUGAGGUGUGGAAAGGUCUCAGGGACAUAGCGAUAGUAUGGCUAACCAAGCUUUUCAACCUCAUUUUUCGGGCAAACAAGAUGCCAGAAGAAUGGAGAUGGAGUAUAUUAGUACCAAUCUUCAAGAACAAGGGGGAUGUUCAGAGUUGUACUAAUUACCGUGGAAUUAAGAUGAUGAGCCAUACAAUGAAGCUAUGGGAGAGUCAUUGA
rnacentral:rRNA from 1 species